rnacentral:rRNA from 1 species
CGGCACGGGUGGAGUAACACGUAUCCAACCUGCCGUCUACUCUUGGCCAGCCUUCUGAAAGGAAGAUUAAUCCAGGAUGGCAUCAUGAGUUCACAUGUCCGCAUGAUUAAAGGUAUUUUCCGGUAGACGAUGGGGAUGCGUUCCAUUAGAUAGUAGGCGGGGUAACGGCCCACCUAGUCAACGAUGGAUAGGGGUUCUGAGAGGAAGGUCCCCCACAUUGGAACUGAGACACGGUCCAA